AAUGUCAGUUUAAUCUGCUUUGGCAACGUGACGACAUAACGGAAAAAGUGUCUCCUCUUUUUCUUGGUACUUCAUAUAUUUCAGAUAUGAGGUACUCUUCGCUUACUAAUCUAAUCUGUGUUUAUAAAUAUGCACACACAUUGAUAUGAAAAUUCCAAUCGAAUUUAGUUAAAAGGCGAAAACUUGAAAUUUAUAUAAACGAAAAUCAUUGAACGAACUUGAAUAAAAUUUGAGACAACCGCAAGACGGAAAAAAAAAACUUUAAUAAUUGAAGUGAACGAGAUAAAGAGUAAACGGGAAUGCCAAGAUAUGAGAGAGACAGAGAGAGGGAGACGCAUGGCUGGAAGCUUUUGCUGGUAGUCUCAGAAAUCGAGGAUAAAGUGAGAAGAGCAGAGAGUUGACUGCACUCCGGCCAGACAAGUCAAUGCCAUUGUGAAGCAUGUCGCUGAUAGACAAACAUACAACAACAACAACAACAACAACAAUGGCACAAAGGAAACAGCAGGAACCCAAGAUAUGUCGACGAGCGAAUUCAAUCCCUGGAUGUUAAAUGUGGCAAAUGAUGAUAGUCUGGUUUAAGGUAAACUCUGGUCUGAAAAAUACUGGGAUGAAAUGUCGAAAUUCGCAGACGGAACCUGUCUAAUACUUGUUUAUUAUAUUUAAAAAAAAAGAAAAAAAACGCAUUGUAAACAAAUUAAAAAUGGCUUUUAAGA